rnacentral:rRNA from 1 species
GACGAACGCUGGCGGCGUGCUUAACACAUGCAAGUCGAACGGAAAGGCCCUGCUUUUGUGGGGUGCUCGAGUAGCGAACGGGUGAGUAACACGUGAGUAACCUGCCCUUGACUUUGGGAUAACUUCAGGAAACUGGGGCUAAUACCGGAUAGGAGCUCCUGCUGCAUGGUGGGGGUUGGAAAGUUUCGGCGGUUGGGGAUGGACUCGCGGCUUAUCAGCUUGUUGGUGGGGUAGUGGCUUACCAAGGCUUUGACGGGUAGCCGGCCUGAGAGGGUGACCGGCCACAUUGGGACUGAGAUACGGCCCAGACUCCUACGGGAGGCAGCAGUGGGGAAUAUUGCACAAUGGGCGGAAGCCUGAUGCAGCAACGCCGCGUGCGGGAUGACGGCCUUCGGGUUGUAAACCGCUUUCGCCUGUGGCGAAGCGUGAGUGACGGUAAUGGGUAAAGAAGCACCGGCUAACUACGUG